AACCAUGAUUUCUGGAAAGUCCCUAGAAACGAGCCAAUUGGAAAUGUACAUGUAUGGAAACCCCUGCUAUUGUAAUCAUGUGGAUUUUGUCUUUAAAAGCUGUGCACAAUUCAGGCUGGGCACUUCCUCCAGCCUCCACUGCAUUGGAUGUGUUGAACGAAGUCCCUGCUUAGGCUUGUAUUGCUCCUGAAUAUCCUGAAUUAAAGCCUUGCUUUUGCAUUUUGAAAGAAAUCAAAGAAACUUUUGCAAAAAAAGUUACCUGAUACGACAGGAAUGGACAUUAUGGAAAGUCUUGCAGAACAAGUUUGGAAAGUUGAAGCCGACAAAAGAGGAGAAAUUAUCAGCAUAUUCUAGGUUCUGCCAGACAGUCUUUUAUUACAUGAUAAAAGCAACACUAGGCACUAGCUCUUGUAAAAUAUGCUCUGACCAACUUUCUGAAAUUAAAAAUGCAUAACCACA